GUUGUUUAAUGUUCAGUUUACUUAAAAUACAUGUAUUUGUUAGGUUAAAAUGUUAUUUUCAAGUAAAGUCCAUGUAAUUGUGUCUAUUGUUACCUGUAAAAAAUAUGAAUGUGUUGAUAAAUCCCAAAACAUUUAAUUUAAGUGAAUUAGGAUUGCAAUACUUGUUACAUCCUGAAGACGGCAGUAUAAAACACCAGCUGCCAUUUAAACCAAAAAAGGAGAAGAAGACUGAGAUGCGUCAGACUGCGCAUGCGUAUAGCUUUGAACUCCUGACCUGACCCCGCCUGACCCUCCUUCGGUUAAUUUCGGUAAUUCUGUCGGAAAAGUUGCAGUUGGUGUUUGGUGUCUCAUUUGGAAAAGAUCCUGGCUGGGAUAGCCUUUGUCAGCUCCCUCCUUAUUGAUGUGUUAUAGCUGGACUACGGAGCUUGUAUGUGAUGGAGGCAGAAUUUGUCUUACUACUACUACUCCCCUUCUCUCAAAGUUCCUUACACAACUUGACCAACGCAAUGAGCAGCUCAUGAAAGUGUUGAAGAACAAAGGAGGCUCUGCAGGGAGGAUAAUCAGGAUCAUUAUGGCCCCAAUGACACAGGAAGCCGAUGGUACAGCUGUUGAGAGGGAGCUUGAGAAGUCACCUUUGGUAUCUACAGCAUCAAUGUUAAGGGAGGUGAUACCACCACUCCUCCAGCCGAUGUUGGAAUUGUGAUUGAGGGUGGUGAAGUUCUGCACGACUUUGGAGACUUUUCUCUGCAUGUGCCCUCAGUUAUCCUAACAGACUGAAAGCCUUCUUUAGUACUUCAAAAAGACUCUCAACCAAGGUACAGCUGCUCAAGAACAAACUGUAUGAAUGAGACAAUCACUGAUUUGGAUGCUGAAUGUUCCAUAGAACAGGAGACAUAUUUUGGGCUGAAACUGAAUAAAAUUAUUACCUGUUUGAAAAUAGAGCAGAGAAACUUCACUUGAGUAAAAACAACUAAUUGUUUUGCAAACUUUUGAAAAACUUUUACCAUACAUGAAAAGUGGUAGAGAAGUGAUGUAGAAUUGAGAGACCAUGCUGCGCAAAAAUGGUUGAUAUAUAACUAUGGAUAUUUUGUGGAUGUUUUAACACUAAGCUGCAUCAAAAACAACUGCAAGGAAGUUCAAUCAUCAGACCAUCUUUCAUAUACCCGUUAAAGAAAUACUACUUUAACAGGGAGUAGAUGUUUGUUAAAGUGUUAACAUCUAAAAUAAAGUUUCCAGUGGCAAGGCUGUUAGAUGGAGAGACUAUUAUUUUGUUGUAAACAAAUUUGAAAACUGUAAAAAGUUUUUUUAAAAAGUGUGAAUUAUUUAUUAAUUUGCUAUCAAUCAGUCGACUAAUAUUUGCAGCUGUAAUUCCAUGUGUUACAAAUGUGUACAUGCAUUUAAAUGUUACUUUAUUGUAUACAAUGUUACUGUAGUGUAUAGAAUUGCACCAAAAUGUUACUGAAUCACUGCUGUGUUGGUGAAUAAAGGAAAUAAGAAAACUA